rnacentral:tRNA from 1 species
GGCCUCGUAGCUCAGUUGGCUAGAGCGUUGGCUUUCCCUUUGCUGGCGUGGAUUCGAAUCCCACCGAGGCUG